rnacentral:rRNA from 1 species
CCAACUCCAAACCCUUCUGUGGACUCCUAAAACGUUGCCUCGGCGGGCUCGCCCGCCGCUGGCCCCAACCAAAAAACUCUCCCAACGUACUUCUGAGUGGCAGACUAUAAAAAUAAGU